GAGCCAAAUCCUAGAAACCCUUACCCACUUCACCAACACCCGCCAUGAAAACACACAGGAUUCAUGGCUGGCUUGAGGCCAUGAGGCCUUGCCUUGCCUUGCCUUGCUUUGCCUUUUUUUCCUUUCCUUUCCUUUUUUGAGACAGGGUCUCUCUGUGUCUCCCAGGCUGGAUUGCAGUGGCACCAUCCUGACUCACUGCAGCUUCCACCUCCCAGGCUCAAGUAGUCCUCCCACUACAGCCUCCUAAGUAGCUGAGACUACAGGCAUGCACCACCAUGCUUGGAUAAUUUUAAAAUUUUUUGUAGAGAUGGGGUUUCUCCAUGUUGCCCAAGCUGGUUUCAAACUCCUGAGCUCAAGUGAUCUACCUGCCUUGGUCUCCCAAAGUGCUGGGAUUACAGGCGUGAGCCCACAGAGUAAACUAUUUCAAAUGUUCAUGUUUUAGUGCAUGGUAUGGAGACACUUGCAGAUAAUUUUCCCUUUACUUUAGGCUUUGGCCAAUAAAUAGAUUUAUAUAAUGUAUUCAUCAUUUGAAAGUGCAGGUACUGAGCAUUGCCAUAUGCAAAAGAAUCUGGUCCCUGCCCUCAAGAAAUUAAUGAUGAAAUUGAUGUGAAUGAGUGUGUGUGUGAGUGCACAGAACUUGCUUGGAGAUUUGAAUAUCCCUAGUUAGUACUGAGAGAUACAAAACACAGGAAUCUUACUGCUGAACCCAAAUAUGACAAAAUGACACUAGCAGGAAAUAGAAAAGAAACAGAUUGUUCCUGCCACACUGAGAAAAGCAAAUGACACAAUUAUGGGUAAGGAGGAAAAGGAUUCCAGAUAAUUCACAUUCUUAGCGAUAGAGAGACAGAUGACAUAUUUUCCCAAGCCCAGCCCUUGCAGUGAGCUCCAGCCUUGCUCUUGGAGAAGAGCUUUGAGGAAAGGUCCUUUGAUUUUGUCCGUUGGGAGUCCUUAGGGUGAGGAACACUCUCGGUUGUGGGGGUGAAAGCAGUCCCUGUGUUUGGUUGUUCUCUGAUUAGCAGCUAGAUAUCAGAAGAUUGUGAUCAGGUUGUGAAUAUUGUAUUUAUAUUUUUAAAAAUUCCCUACCUUCAGCCUAGCCUCAAAAUUAAAACACCACCAAAACCCCACAUCCUCAAGAAAAAGCAUCAAGCAUGCAUGUCCUUUAUAACUUUAUAUUACAUAUAUAUUCCAUUAUAUUUGUACACACAUAUAUACAAAUAAACACCCGUAUAUACAUUAUAUUUAUGUAUGCAUAUAUAUUAUACACAUAUAUACAUAUAUACCAUUAUAUUUGUCAUAUGUAUGUGUAUAUAUCCCAUUAUAUUACCAUUUUAAAAACACACACUUGCCCUAUGAUUUUUCGCUGCAAUCAUAUCUUUGUAUGGUUUUGGGAACGUGUGUUCUGGGGGAGUUCUCUGUUCUGUGAGGUGGCAACAAGCUUGCACACAAAGGACCUGCCCAGCAGCUGGCCUGGUCAGCCACGCACAUUUCAUUUGCUUGCCCCUCCCACCAAGCCAGGAAGGCAGGCAGCAUUUGUACAGUCAUGUUUAUGGCUAAGGAAACCAAGGCCCAGAAAUCUUAAGCCACGCCUCCCAGUUGAGAGUAGAAUCCAGGUUUUCUGGCCCCAAAGCCUGUGCUUGUCAUCUGAGAUGGCUCUUGAUGGGGUCCCUGCCUGCCAUUGUGAACUUUGGAGAUACUUUUCCCUUGGUAGGUCUGAGGACUAUUGUAUUUCGGUGAUGUGGCCAAACAAAGCAAACAUCAAAGAUAUUUUAUUGUUAUAAUUUGGGCUUUUUAAAGAUGCAUUUAAGGAUUUUUGAUUGCCUUUUCUAUUGUCUCUAUCCUGUGUUUAUAUUGGCUCAAAACAUUUUCAAAGCAAUUAGCAAAAAAAAAAAAAAAAA
rnacentral:lncRNA from 1 species